rnacentral:misc_RNA from 1 species
CAACCCUCAAGUCCCCUGUGGACUCGGUGUUGGGGACCGGCGAGACAACCGCGGAUCUUCUUCCGCAGCGAGUCGCCGCCCCCCAAAUGACUUGGCGGCCUCGUCGCGGCCCUCCUCUGCGUAGUAUAGCACACCUCGCAACAGGAGCCCGGCGAAUGGCCACUGCCGUAAAACCCCCCCAACUUUUUCAG